UCACCCCCUUUCUCCCGACCCGCCUCCUCAUCCCUUCCUCCCGACCCUAGGUGGCGGCGGCGGACCUUAGUCCAGUCCUAGCGGCGGCGGUGGCUACUCAUGGUUAUGGAUGGCGGCGGCGAUACGGAUGGGGACGGCGCUGCGGAGGAUGGCCAGGGCGCGGCCGCGGAGGGGUCAAACCUAGGCGCUGAUGUGGAUCCGACAUUGGUGGAGAAUGGCGACGGCAGGGCUGCGGCUAGGUGCGGCCAGGGCGAGGCUCCAGAAGCAAAGGGGUCGGGCCAGCGCACGGCUACAGAUGGAGACAACACGGCUUUGGCAGGUGACCAGGGCACGGCUACAACGGGCUCGGGCCAGGGUGUUGCAUUGGCCAGGGGCUCAACCGCCGGCGUGGGUGGAGAAUCAGGCGAGGCAUGGCUGGGUCGACCCCGGAAGGAGCUGCUGGGUCAGGCAAGGGAAAGGCUAGGUCGACCACGGAAGGAGCUACAUGGGCAUGUCCAGUCCGAAUGAAAGAGUUCAAGUUGGCACUUUCUCAGCAUGCAAUCAAACAUGAAUUUGAGUAUGACACCGAGUAUAGUACACCUCAUCGGUUUAGGGGCUAUUGUUCAAGACGGGAUGCAGAUAAUUGUCCAUGGAGGAUACAUGCUUCUAUGACGGAGCAUAAGUGUACGUAAUGGUGAAGAAAAACCCAUGUGGUCAUGAUUGCUCUAGUGCAUGAAGGAAAAAGAAGACAAAGAAUGGAACCAAGCAUUGGGUAUGUGAUAAGGUGAAGGAUUGCCUGAUUGAAGAUGCUACUCUCAGAGCGAAGGCAAUGCAGAAGAUGAUUAAAGAACACCACAAGGUUGGCCUCCACUACAAGAGAGUAUAUAUGGGUAAGAAGCUAGCUUUGAAAGAACUAUAUGGUGAUUGGGAUAGUAGCCUUGAUAAUUUGUAUAGGUUUAAAGCACAAGUUGAAAUCUCUUGCCCUGGUAGCAUAGUUUAGAUUGAUCAUUACACUAUAAAAGAAAAAAUCAGGUUUAGAAGGUUCUUCUUUGCUCCGAAACCUUGCAUAGAUGGAUUCCGUAGUGGUUGCAGGCCAUAUUUGGCAGUAGAUAGCACAUUAUUAACAUGCAGGUUCAAGGGGCAGCUGGCUAGUGCUAUCGCUAUAGAUGGCCAUAAUUGGAUGUAUCCACUUUGCUUUGGAGUUUUUGAUUCCGAAACAAAUGAGAACUGGAUUUGGUUCAUGCAAUUGCUUAGGCAAGCCAUAGGAUCACCAAGGGGUGUAUCUGUAAGCACUGAUGCCGGGCAGGCGGUGAUGACAGGGGUAAAGGAAGCUUUCCCAAAGGUAGAACAUAGGGAAUGCAUGUUUUACUUGGUGUCAAACUUUAAGAAAAAGUAUCACGAAAAGGUGUUUGUUGACCACCUUUGGGCUGCAGUUUACUCAUGGAACACAUAUAUGUUGGGGAACGUUGCAUGGAAAACAAAAAAAAUCUACGCACACGCAAGAUCUAUCCAUGGAGAUGCAUAGCUAUGAGAGGGGAGAGCAUCUACAUACCCCUGUAGAUCGCUAAGCGGAAGCGUUUAUCACGCGGUUGAUGUAGUCGCACUCUUCGCGAUCCGAUCAUGAUCCAACUAAUCUAGUGCCGAAAGGGCGGCACCUCCGAGUUUAGCACACGUGCGGCUCGAUGACGUCUCCUCCUUCUUGAUCCAACAAGCGGGAGAGGGGAAGUAGAUGGGAUCACAACCAACACGUGAUGGUGAUGGUGGAGCACCGACAGCGCUUCGCUAAGCAUCGCCGGGACGAGGCAGUGGAACUACGGAGUAACGAGAGAGAGAGAGAGAGAGAGAGAGAGAGAGAGGGACGCCAAGGGCUUGAAGUGUGCUCUUGGGGCGCCCCUCCCCUCUAUAUAUAGGUGGAGAGGUGUGGGAAACUGCCCCUCCAAGCCCUAGGGCAUAGCUAAGGGGGAGAGGACUUGGACUCCAAGUCCAAUCAUAUUCCUACUAGGACUCCUUCCUUUUUUGCCUUCCCUAGUGAAAGAACAUGCGGCGCCCCCAUGUUUGGUUUUGGUAAUUGAUGACAAUAUCUAUGAACUAAUGGUUGUCUUGGGUUAUAUUUGAAGGAUUUGUCCAUAGGAAUUUCUUGAAGUCCAUUUGUUGGUUUCAAGGAGUUUAUAUGUUGACCAAUGUGAUAUUCAAGGAAUUAUCUAAAGAGUGGUCAUGUAGAAGACAUGAUACAAGGUUGAUCAAGACUAAGUCAAGACUGAAUCAAGUUGAUCAUCACACAAAGCGUACAAGAUGUACCGAGAGGGAUCAAGUGAUCCCAUGGUAUGGUAAGCAUUGUCCAUUACGCUUUGUGUACUAACCCAUGAUCUAUGUGUGAGUUCUAUGUGGGGUUACGUCUGUUUCCAUGGGUUUGCAUCAAGAGGAAGAUCUCAUACAACCCAUGGAGGAUUACAUCAAGUGGUGAUCGUCAUCAAGAUUGCGGUGUGCAAGUUCAAGUGGAGCACCACGAAGAGAUCAUCCUUGAAGCUUGUCGUCCAUUAUGGUGUUAAUGGACUUGUGAAGAUGUGCCAAAGAGUGGCUCUCCCAUAAUGGAGUAUGAGCAAUCAACAAGUCUUCAUCGAGCCAACGCAAUCAAGAAAGGUGCUCCAACUUGAGGGAGUCAAGAUCGUCAUCAUCUAGCUCAAGUGGACUAUGUGCAAGGCAAAGGUUUGCCCUUGAUAGGUUUAUGUUUUACCGGUCUCAUGGUGGUAGUUGGGAGACCGGGUUAUAGGAUCGAUUGCCGUACUAUCAAGGGGGCUCUCGAUGGGUAGCUUCAUCGUAUCAUUCGUCCAGAGCUCAUACCAUUGCAUCUUUGCAUCAUCUUUAUUGGUUCUUGUUUGGUUCUUCUCCUUGUGAGAUUUGGAGCUUAUGGUCAUUUUCAUGACAAGCUUGAGUUCAUCGAAAAUAGAGUUCACA